rnacentral:rRNA from 1 species
UGAAUCAGUCAUGCUGCGUGCAGAAUGACUGCCCUAUCGGCUGUAACCUGCUUUGUCAGCAUAGCUAGAUACGUGUAUUCUGCUGAAUGUACUGGAGAUACGAAUCGCCUACUCGUGCCAGCAGCGCGGUACUACGGAGGAUCCGAGCGUUAUCCGGAUUUAUUGGGUUUAAAGGGGUGCGUAGGCCGACCUGUUAGUCAGGGGUGAAAUACGUGGCUCACCAUCGGCAGUGCCUUUGAUACUGACCGGGCUUGGAUUCCAUUUGGAUGUGGCGAAUAAGACAUAGUAGGCGUGGAGAUGCAUAGAUACGGUGUAGAAUUCGGAUGCGAAAGCCACUCCAUUAAGCGGGAAUGACGCUGAAGCCACAAAGCGUUGGGGUUGAACCAGGAUUGAUAACCCGGUUAUUCCCGCCCUAAACCGAUAUAACUUGAUUGUGGCGAUUGACCAGCAAGCUUCCCAGGGAAAGCGUAAGUUAUUCCCCUGGGGGAGUCGCCCCCCAAGGUUGAAAUCAAAAGAAAUGGCGGGGGCCCCCCCCAAGCGGAGGACCUUUGGGUUAAAUUGGAGAUUCCCGGAGAACCUUUCCCGGGGCUGAAAAGUUAGGAAGGAAGGCAGAGAGCCUUCGUUCUUUGGGGCCAGGAAAUUGGUUGUGCCAGGGCGUUGUUCAGUUCGUCCCGGGGGGUGUGGGGUUAAUUCCGCCAACGAGGCCAACCCUUUUGUUUAUUUCCCACCAUUUAAGGUGGGGACUCUAAACAGACUGCCUGCGCAAGCAGAGAGGAAGGUGGGGACGACGUCAAGUCAUCAUGGCCCUUACGUCCGGGGCUACACACGUGCUACAAUGGAUGGUACAGCGGGCAGCUACAUAGCAAUAUGAUGCUAAUCUCUAAAAGCCAUUCACAGUUCGGAUUGGGGUCUGCAACUCGACCCCAUGAAGUUGGAUUCGCUAGUAAUCGCGUAUCAGCAAUGACGCGGUGAAUACGUUCCCGGGCCUUGUACACACCGCCCGUCAAGCCAUGAAAGUUGGGGGUACCUAAAGCAUGUUACCGCAAGGAGCGUGUAGGUAAGCCCAUGUU